rnacentral:rRNA from 1 species
AUACGUAGGGGGCGAGCGUUGUCCGGAAUGAUUGGGCGUAAAGGGCGCGUAGGCGGCCCGGUAAGUCUGGAGUGAAAGUCCUGUUUUUAAGAUGGGAAUUGCUUUGGAUACUGUCGGGCUUGAGUGCAGGAGAGGUAAGUGGAAUUCCCAGUGUAGCGGUGAAAUGCGUAGAGAUUGGGAGGAACACCAGUGGCGAAGGCGACUUACUGGACUGUAACUGGCGCUGAGGCGCGAAAGUGUGGGGAGCAAACAGGAUUAGAUACCCGGGUAGUCCACACUGUAAACGAUGAAUGCUAGGUGUAGGGGGUAUCGACCCCUUCUGUGCCGCAGUCAACACAAUAAGCAUUCCGCCUGGGGAGUACGGCCGCAAGGUGGAAACUCAAAUGAAUUGACGGGG